rnacentral:rRNA from 1 species
GUGGGGAAUUUUGGACAAUAGGCGCAAGCCUGAUCCAGCAAUGCCGCGUGCAGGAAGAAGGCCUUCGGGUUGUAAACUGCUUUUGUACGGAACGAAACGGUCCGGGUUAAUACCCUGGGCUAAUGACGGUACCGUAAGAAUAAGCACCGGCUAACUACGUGCCAGCAGCCGCGGUAAUACGUAGGGUGCAAGCGUUAAUCGGAAUUACUGGGCGUAAAGCGUGCGCAGGCGGUUUUGUAAGACAGGCGUGAAAUCCCCGGGCUCAACCUGGGAAUUGCGCUUGUGACUGCAAGGCUGGAGUGCGGCAGAGGGGGAUGGAAUUCCGCGUGUAGCAGUGAAAUGCGUAGAUAUGCGGAGGAACACCGAUGGCGAAGGCAAUCCCCUGGGCCUGCACUGACGCUCAUGCACGAAAGCGUGGGGAGCAAACAGGAUUAGAAACCCUAGUAGUCC